CAAAACGUAGCUUAAACAAAGCAUCUCGCUUACACCGAAACUAUAUCUGUUAAACCCAGAUCGUCUUGA
rnacentral:tRNA from 1 species